CUAACCUGCAAAUGAACCCAUACGAGCUACAGGAGAGAAAAUCUUAUCCCCACCUUAUCCUCUCAUCACCCACCCAUCUCUCUCUCCCCCCGUGCUCCUCAAUCCACUCUGCGCCUCCCCUCCCAGCCCGCCGCUGCACCAUCUCCUCCCCUGGGCCACUACACCACCUCACACCCCGCGCCAUGGCACCACCCCUCCCCGCGCCGCCGCACCCUCUCCAACCACCUCCUACUCGGCCCACCUGCCCACGCGUCGGCCAGCCGCCGGAUUUGCCCCGUCGCCGUCCUCCCACGGCUGCCCGACAUCAUAUCCACUUGUAGCCGUCCUGGGGGCGUCAGCGGCGGCCGGCUUCAAGGGUUGGAGAGGUCCAGUGAGCUCGGGGUCGCCGGCGAUCCACCCCUCCCCGUUCUUCCACGACCGUCGGUGUUGCGCGUGUCCCCCACGACAGUGUAGUUCGCGUGCGCGUGUGCAACUCCUUCCUCACCUCACGACCACCAUCUCUCUGAUGAGCAUCAGCCUUCAAAGAUUGGAGGGGGUCCAGUAAGCUCUAAGAUCGCCGGGAGCCCACCACCCCGCCACCCUAGCUACCCCGCACCAGAUCUCGCCAAAGAUCUGGCGUGCCCUGCAUCCAUCGCCGCCGUUCAAGGUCGGACGCCUAGGUCCAGCGAGGCCACCGCCUCUUGUCUGUCCGCUGCCUGUGUUUGAAGCUACCGGCGCUCCACCCCUGCCCAGAUCCAUCAGGCGCGCGCCGGUUUCUUGCUGCCCGCCCCUCCGCAGCCGCACCGGUCUUCGGUUCAAUUUUUUUGUUUUUGCUAUUAAAAUCUUCAGUGCACGGUGGCGAAUGUUGAAGUCCCUCCCCUCUCUUCUGCUACGUUGCAUGAUCCCCCACCCCCCACUUCCUCUGUUUGGCAGGUCUGGUAGCACUCUCGCAUCGAUGCAGCUCACUUCGUCCAUACGGGUUGUUUUUUGGGAUCGAACUACAUCUCACUUCGCCCAGUGUCUGGAACAGCAUGAGCGUGCGGGCGUCCCUGCCCUGCAGCCAGGCGACAGCACCCGUGCAGUCCACAAAUGAGGCCGUGAAGUUGAAGAGCGACAGGCGGCGGGAGACAAGUGCACUGCAUUAUGGUGGCCGGUGGCAUAAUUAUUUCUUUACUAGUUCAUCUUUGCUGUUUGUUUUAGUUUCACCAUGUUUGUGGUUCCCUUAUGGCAUCCCGCAGUACGCAUUGCAUAUACAUGCAGUUUUUUUUAAUGCAAAGAUAACAAUAUAAUGGUGUAACAGAAAAGUUCUAGAACAAAAUAACAAAAA